UACCUCAUGGGUUUUCUUUUGAGUAUAAUAUUGCAUAGAUUUAUUGGAGGAUUUUUGAGAUUGAAAUCCGGCCACUAUUCACAAAUUGGGGUUUACUGUUUUCUUAAUUGUUGAGGUAGUUCUUGUUGUUUUCUGGCUUGGUGGUAGUUGAAAGAAGUGUUAAGGAUGUUGAGAUGAAGCCGCUGUCAAAAUUUGGUGACCAUCGGAGGAGUUGGCCGACGAGUGAACAGUGCCGCCGAGUGAACAGUGCGGGUGACGUAUCAAAUUACUACUGGGUGAAGGAGCUCUUAUGCGUGGUUGCCUAAAUAGUACUUUUGCAGGCUAGAUUAGUUGAGGUCGGGCGUACAUGGAGUCGAGGCAUAGCCAACAGCAUUGCUUCCGCGUACUCAUUCUAUUUCUGUUUUCUGUGAUACCUAAUAGAUUAAUAUUGCUCUGAUAAGCUGUGGGAUUAAUAUUGUUUUUGGGUUGAGACUGUUAUUUGAGAAAUUGAAGUUGUGAUUUGGGGAGCAGGUGGCUCCAGGAGUAUAAGGUUGGUUUGUUUGAAGUACUUUGUGUCUUUCAACAGGUUUUGGGUAGUCCAUUUUAGGGGAAGUUCUGCCAAAUUUUUUGGUAGAAUUUCUUUUCAGGGGGAAAUUCGGGGCGGGUCCUGUCAGUUGGUAUCAGAGCAUUAGGUUGUUAGAUUCUGUAGACUUGUUUCUAUCCUGUUACCGUAUAUGCUUGAUGUUACUCAGUACCUCCCGAGUGAUGGCCCGACUGCAGCGGUUCCCCAUCAUAUACUCUUCGGUGCUGAAGUAUUCAUCAAGUGUGUACGGUACAUGUCUAAUUGGUUCUUUCUUUAGAUGUUAUGCCUCUUGUACGCCGACCUCCUAGAAAUGUCGUUGUGUAGCGGAGUGUUCGUAUGUUUUGCACAUUUCCCUGAUGAUGGUAGAGUAAGACUACUCUACAGAUUCGAGUUGUGCUGUGAAAUAUGAUUCGAGGAAAUGUUGUGGGUAUUUCUUCCUCAAUGCCAACAAGUUUGUUGGGGCAUGGUUUGAGGUGCGAGACCGGAAUUUUAUUUUGUGCUUGAUUGUUUGAGAUGAGUGUCCAUUGUUUUGGGCUGUCUCUGAGUAUUAUAAUUGAUUCAGAAUCAGGAUUGUUGUUGGAAUUGGAAUUAGUAAUAAUGAUGGUUAUGACUUUGAAUCGAGUUUGGGGAAUGUGUUACUUGACACGAUCGACCCUGUAAGUGGCAUGUGGAAUAUUACGGGAAUUCGAUGGAGAUUCUUUGUGAAUCUCAUUGUUGGAAAUCAUUUAUAGAGAAUCUAGAUUGAAAUGUAUCACAACUGGACACCUUAUGUCGGCGUCAUGUACGCAUCACCCUUUGGUAGACAACAGGGAAAAUUGAAGAAAUAUUCUGGGUUGUUAUGGCUAGAUGCUGUGUUUUCAAGUGGCUAUGGUCACUGAUGUUGAUAAGUGGGAAGUGAUAACAGUAAAUGAGAAUUGUAAGUAGGAUGAGAUUUUUAGAAAUUGUCAUUUUGAGUCGUACCCUAACCAGGGUGUAUGAGUAUAGUUUUGCUCGGAAUAAAAGAAUUGAUUUCAGAUACCACAACUUAUAGUUUUGUCUUCCUGAGUCUUAGAUGAUAACGAGUAGGGAGAUUAACAAGAGUGGGCUUUUGCAGUUUAUAUGUACUUGAAGUUCGAGAAUCGGAAGAAUGCUUAAGGUUUUAUAAUAGAGUUGCGACUUUGGUCGGUAAAUAAUUUGGAGAGUUGGAAUCAACUCUUCGUAUGUGAUAUUAUGCAAAUGGGUGUCCUUGGUUAUCCACUUUUGAGUGAAACAGUUACACAUAAGAUUGGGGAAUAGCGGUAAUGGCUUUGUUGGGUGUCCAUAGAAGUUCGAACGGAAUUACUAGGUGAUACGGAAUCUGAUUCGAGUUUUGAAUCACGUAGCCUUGAAGGUUGAAUUGUGAUAGGCUCUUGGUGGAAGUUUUGCCUGACGUAUGGGUUGUGAUAUGAUGUUAGUGGUUGGUGGAAUAAUUUUAAGGAAAUAAGUUUUCAGUUGGCUCCGGAAAUAUUUUAAGUCAAGGCUUGACCAGGACUCUUGUUAUUUUGGAUGGAAGGUAUUGUAGCCUGUUUUGAAGUGACGUACUUCAGUGAUCAUUACUUUGAGGAAAUUGGAUCAUUAUUGUGGUGGGACCACGUUCGGAUCCGGAUAUUGUUUGGUGUGAUACAAAAUGUUGGACGGGUGUCCUUUGAUUUAUGUUAAGGAUUGUCCAGGAAAGAUCUUGUGAAUUGUGCUAGCUACCUCGGGGAGUUGGUUAUUGUUUGAAUUGAAUACAUGUAAUGGAUUUUCUUUGAAGGAAUUGAGCGAGUUUUGCCACCCUGGUGGCCCUCAAUUGGAAAUGUAUCGGAAGUUGUUGGUACGAGUGAAAUCCGGUCACCACUUGUCUAACGGUAUGACGACUUGAACAGGAAGUAGGAGUUGAGUUGGAAUUAAUUGAUUGGGUUUAUGUUCUAUCAGGGUUUUAAUAGAUAUUUAAGUACUAAUUGUUGAGACACUAUGGUUGAGUUAUGUUAUUGGAUAAAUUCUUAGUGAGGGGAUUUGGAAAAGUUUUUGGUACAAUUUUGGUUAGCACAGGAAAGUUAUAGGGAUCCUUGUUGUAGCUGAAAUCUUAUAAGUUAAGUGUCGAUCGCGGAGCGGAUUUGCGGCUAUUUUAUCCUCUUUUCGGUAAGGACAAUCGUCGUUUAUUAGUAUUGGCCUUAAGUUAAAUAAGAAGUGUUGGCUAUAUUCUAGUACUUGCAAGUUCAACGUUGUUUGACAUGACUGAUUUCAAGUGUUGAAUUUCUUUUCUAGUUGGUCAACUUUGGAUCAGAUUUGGAGUAAUUUCUAGUGUUGUUGGUUACAUCAUAGUCCAUUAGAGGAUUUGACACAUACAGAAUUUAGAACUUUUCUAUAAUGUCGUACCUGUAAUAGAAUUGUCAGGUGGUGAUGUCGGACAGAUGGUUGGAAAUGUUCUACUUGGGGUUGGUGGAGCAGUUGGGAAAGAGAGUUUUCCUAGUUAUCUAAGGAAGCUAUUUUAUUUAAGUUUGAUCAGAAUUCCAGUCAAGUAUCUAAUAAUACGGAUAGUAGUGUUUUCGGUGGUGAGAAUUACAUUGGCAUAUGAAGUAGAAUUAUCAUUUGUGGCAUUGGAGGCCAGCGAGAACGACGUGGAUUCAACUAGAGGUUAGACCUAUGACUAUUAAAGAAGUGUAGCAUCAGCUAAGAACAGUUUUAGUGUGAUGCAUCUCCUCCUGGAUUUGAGUCUUUGGGCUGGAGUGGAGUGAGUAGUUACGGUUCUUGCUUUGUACCGGGUUUCGAACGACGUGGUACUCGUUGCGUACCAUUAAAUAAACACUAACAUGUAAGGAAUUUUAGCAGUUUUGAUUAGAGACAUUGGUAAUUAGUAGAUUCCUUGAAACACAUUUGAUCUAAAAGAGUUUUCCACUACAUUACAAUUAUAGAAAAUUUUCGAGGGAUUACGCUAGUUAGCCAGUUUGAGAUAUUAAGUGUGGCCAGCAGGGUAACUAUCAAAUGAGUUUUCCUUGUUGACUUGGAAUGUCAUUUCAAGGCGUGAUCAAUGUUCCUGUUAGUUAUCAGAGUAGCGCAGAUGAAGUGUAGUGGCCCCAUAACCUAUAUGAUUAAGAACUUAUGGGUUUGUUUGGGACUACCCUUUGUUAUGCUUGACAACUGUGAGACCUUUACGUGAAUGACAGUCGAUCAUAAAUCUAAGCACAAACAGACAAAAGGAAGUGCGGUCUUGUGGUUGCUAAGGAAACUGCUUGUUACGGACUUGUGGGUUAUCAGUGAGUAUCUUGUGGUGUUUUAUUAGCGGUUGGACUUUUUCAUAAAUCCGUGUACGAAUUGAAAUUGUAUUAAGUGUGGGUUGAUGUAUUAUCACAAUAUGGUUGAUGAACGGGGUGGAUCUUCACCAUGCAACUUAUAUGAAGGGUCAUGAAUACUUCUAUUCCAACUGAAUGACUUGUGAUAUCAAUACCUUGUGCUAUCUGAGCUAUAAACAUGUUGUGAUUUGCUUGAGUAGUUGGGAUGGUUGGAGACUCUAUGGAUUGUUAAAGUAGUGACUUGAGGUUGUAAAAGAAAAUUUAACUCACAGAAGAGACGACAAGUAUUGUGAUCCUGGCAGCAUCGAAUGAGGAUUGUUCCUUUUAAGGUUGAUCUCCUUAUUCAAUCGCCCAACUCUUGGAUCAUUUUUUGAAACUAAGUUCUACAUGUUUUGAGCAAUUUGGCAUAUUUUUAUGUGCCUUACCUUACCCACUGUUGUGAGAUCGGUGUAUUAUCUUUCUUCGUAAUGUGUACUUUGGGUAGGUGUGUAAUCUUCUGCGGUAUGAAAUUUCGAGGACGAAAUUUUUAUAAGGAGGGGAGAUUGUUACGUCCCGUAUCUUAAAGUACCAAUUUACUAGUUAUUUGCCCGGUAAACGGCAAUUACUUUCACUUUUACUGUCGUUUCGGUACUUUUAGUGGCCCUAAAAGUUGACUUUUAGUUCGGGUCAAAAUUUGAGAAAAUUUUCUUCAUGAAAAUUGUAGAGGACGUUAAACCGAGCGCGUGCAUAUGUGGUACGUAUAAAUUGGAGUUUGUAUGCCAAAUUUAUGAGUAUUUUUGUGUGAGGGGUAUUUUGGUCAUUUCAUCACACCUUAAUUAUAAGGGGCUGAUCAGCCCCAUUUCCAGCCAUUCUCCCCAUCCUUCACGACAGAAACCAGAAAGAAAAAAGAGAGAAAGAGAGAGAGAGAGAGAGAGAAAGAAAGAAAGAAAGAAAGAAAGAGAUCUUCCGGUGCGGAUUCCGGCAAUUUCCGGCAGCAAAAAUGUUCUUGUUGUUUUCUGGCUUGGUGGUAGUUGAAAGAAGUGUUAAGGAUGUUGAGAUGAAGCCGCUGUCAAAAUUUGGUGACCAUCGGAGGAGUUGGCCGACGAGUGAACAGUGCCGCCGAGUGAACAGUGCGGGUGACGUAUCAAAUUACUACUGGGUGAAGGAGCUCUUAUGCGUGGUUGCCUAAAUAGUACUUUUGCAGGCUAGAUUAGUUGAGGUCGGGCGUACAUGGAGUCGAGGCAUAGCCAACAGCAUUGCUUCCGCGUACUCAUUCUAUUUCUGUUUUCUGUGAUACCUAAUAGAUUAAUAUUGCUCUGAUAAGCUGUGGGAUUAAUAUUGUUUUUGGGUUGAGACUGUUAUUUGAGAAAUUGAAGUUGUGAUUUGGGGAGCAGGUGGCUCCAGGAGUAUAAGGUUGGUUUGUUUGAA